CCUACGGGCGGCUGCAGUGGGGAAUAUUGGACAAUGGGGGCAACCCUGAUCCAGCCAUGCCGCGUGUGUGAAGAAGGCCCUCGGGUUGUAAAGCACUUUCAGUGAGGAAGAACGCCUGGUGGUUAAUACCCAUCAGGAAAGACAUCACUCACAGAAGAAGCACCGGCUAACUCCGUGCCAGCAGCCGCGGUAAUACGGAGGGUGCGAGCGUUAAUCGGAAUUACUGGGCGUAAAGCGCGCGUAGGUGGCUUGAUAAGCCGGUUGUGAAAGCCCCGGGCUCAACCUGGGAACGGCAUCCGGAACUGUCAAGCUAGAGUGCAGGAGAGGAAGAUAGAAUUCCCGGUGUAGCGGUGAAAUGCGUAGAGAUCGGGAGGAAUACCAGUGGCGAAGGCGGCCUUCUGGACUGACACUGACACUGAGGUGCGAAAGCGUGGGUAGCAAACAGGAUUAGAUACCCCAGUAGUC
rnacentral:rRNA from 1 species